ACGAGAAGCUAGAGAGUCAUCCUCGUGGAAGGGAGGAAUCGCGGUGCUUGCAUAGACGAUUGAUAAAUUCGUGUGGAACGGAUGCGUCGAGAUGCAUGCCGGUGCCUUUCAGACUGGAACGAGGCUAACGCGUUUUAUGGAGGAGGUUGAGGGAUAUUGAUGCGGAUGCGGGCGUCUUUCUGACAUCGACGAAAACCGAGCUUGCCUCCGAGAAAUAUCACGCGAGUGCUUUAACGUAUUUCUCCAAAUUCGUUUCCCGUGCAUUCUAGCGAAUGCAUCAUCUCUCGAUGAAAAAAAUUCGUAAAACUUCACUCCCGUGCUUUUCCUCGAAAAUUAGUAAAAAAAAAAGUAUGAUCACCAAAAUUAAUUUCAAUGACUUUUUUUACUUCACGUAAUUUUCCUUCCGUAGAAAAUAUCCUCCUACAAGAACCGCGAAGUCAGAGACGAGUGUUGGCGAAAAAGUGGGCGAAAGGGUUGAGAGAAAGAAGAGCGCGCGAUCAUCUUCGCCGUUGGUCCAGCACGAAGGUUCCUUCGUCUUUUCGCCGCGGGCCAUUAUUCUACACGUGCGAACAUUUCGCGGGAACAAUGGUCGUUGGGAGGAGUUUUCGUCCCGAGUUAGGAGAUCGCGUCCGGUCCGUAUUAUUCCGGGGAGGGGGUUCCUGGAACGGCGCUCGUUUGUCGGCAAAAAUAAGAAGCCGUGAAGAAAAACUGUGAAAGCUGCUCGAAAGGUCCUCGAGGAACCUGUCGACUCGGCAGGCAGACCCAGCCAGAAACGAGAGGAUCGACCACCACUCUCUUACGGUUUCCUCCUUCCUCCGCACGUGUUUCCUUUUCUCUUUUUCCUUCGCAGCCUCUUCAAGGGGGCCAAACUCAACCCCUCAGCUCCUCUCUUCCCCGCUCAGCCACGCUCAUUGUUCGUCCCUUCUGAUUGCCUUCUCGCGGGGACAUUUUCCAAAACUAAUUGGCCCGUCGCCUCAUUAAACACGAAACUCGACCGCCUGAUGACCGACUUUGGACACCGCAGUCUGGAUCUCUGACUCCCCGAGGACGGAGUUGAAGAUCCACCAGAUUUCGACGGAGUUAAUUAAUCGCGGAGGAUCGCAGAUGUUCGAGGUGAUUUUGCGGAGACAAAAGCUGUUCUAAAUUUUGCUCUAGGAUCCUUCGUAUAUCCUUCCUUUCGACUCGCACCUUUCUUUUCCUUCGUACAUAAGAACGCAUUUAAUUUAUUCCGCGUGAACUCGAAGAGAGAUCGAUCGGCCAAUUCGAUUCAAUUCUCGAUAUACGCAUAAACGAUCUAAAUCGAUCAAUUCCAUCGAGAUGAAUCAUCUCGUCUUUCCUCACGGAAACGAAACGAUACUGUAGCUGACUGUAGCGUGUACAGUAACGAUACACGCUACUUAACUCUAGGUCCGUGUUAUAGAAAUCGGUUAUAGAGAUGGAUGAUGCACGGAUCGUGAGGGACGAGAGAUUCGUUCGAUUCGUUGUGGGUGUACCGGUGCAUUCACCCACGCGGCGGGGAUUGAAUCGACGCAACGGGUGGGAGGCGAGGCCACCCGUGGAAUCGCGUUUUACAUAAUCGGUCAGUCGCGAGGGAUAAAGUAACGACGCGUUCGCGAGCCGGAUAUGCUCGUGAAUAUUGCCGGUGAAACAGCGUGUAACAUCGACUACCAACUGGUGCAAGUCCGCCCGAGGAACGAAAACUCAUCCCCUGAAAUAUCGAUCCGUGUAGUUUAAAUCCCUGCCACAUAUACAUAUAUAUAUAAAACCACGUUGUAUAUUCUCUUCCCCCGUGGCCCUGUUUCGAGAACGUACAUCGCAUCGUCGAAUUGGUGUAUCAAACCCGUUUCCCAUGCGAACGACGUAAUCAUCGUCCGGCAUCGAAGAUAAAUUUUGACGAACACGGGUACGAGAUGGGGCGCGAUAUUAUUCUCUCGAAGCAUUCUCGAAGAGGAAGAACAAGACGGGGGAAGGUGUAAUUUAACGGUGGGCGAGGGUCUGAGAAAGAAAGGGGGUCCUCUAAUCCGUGGAAAAGGAAGGAUUUCGUUGAAAGGGACGGGCAAAGACAAAGGGGCAUAUCCGUUGAUCGACGACACCAGAGGGCCAGGUUUCCAGGGCCAGGAAAGCGCAUCUCUGACCUCCCACUGAGAUAAAUCGUCGUGGGAUCCGAGACUCCCGUUGUUGUUGUCCAACCUGCGCCCCCCUUCUCGAUCGACCGGUUAAUCUUGGAUCACCUGUGCAACCUGUCCUCCGCUUCCUGCGAUCUCGAAUUACGCGUGGAAAAAAAAGAAGAAACAUUGGACGUUUCGUUUACACGGUUUCUAGGCAGAAAGAAAGGAAAGGCGUUCUCCUUGCUCCCAUGAGUUAACUUUUCGAUGAUUGGCGAAUCCUUUGAGGAUACGUUUACCUCGACCCUUCGGGAUAAGAUUAACGCUGUGAAGAGGAAAGAAGAGAUUUUUCCUCGAGCAGCGUCAAAACACACGGACCGAACCGCAGCCACCGCCAUCACCACCGUUCACGACAAUUAUCGUCUCCACGAGUUAAACACUUCCGUCGGCAAUACUCGACCGAGGAGGGGACUCUAACCAAGAAGAAGAAGAAAAAGUGGUUGGAGAGAGUUUUAACGUCGUCUCUGGAUGACGGGUUAAUUGCUGUUUGUCGCGCGCGUUCACACGAAGAUGGAGGAAAUGGAUGGGAGGUCGGGGAGAAAUUGGUCGAACGGAUUGCGGAGCCGGGCCGGUGACCCGGAUCCUUUUCACCGUGAAAAGGUAUUUUUUAAUUCUGAUAUAUCGAGAUUGAACGAAUCUGAAUUGGAGGAAAUUAUCGCGAGCGGAUGGAUGGAAAAGAAUUGGAAGGGUUACAGAGAAAAAGAUGCUACGAAAUCGUUCCGAAUUGCUCCAUUUUCUCGGCGCAGAAAUCGUUGGAGAGAAUUCUCGAGGAUCGUGUACACGGUUAGAACGAUCUGUGGAGAAAUUCGACGAGCAAUUUGGAAUUUAUCGCGAAUCAGGAGAUUCGACUGGCGGAAAUCGGCGGGUAGGAUGCCUGGAGGGACGAGCGGCACUGUUCAAAGCGAUGGCCGAGAAGUUGCACGCGCGUGGGAUCGUGACAGGCUCGUUGAACGGCGAAGAAGCUGUCUCGAAGGGAAACAAAGUCUGGCUCGUUAAUCCACGGUUGCCACUUGGCGGGAAAACGGAACGCGAGUCGAUACAGCCGAGCCAAUGCCAGGCCAACUGCGGUUCCGAAAAAUAUACGUGGAAAAUCGAGCCUUCGAUUCUGGCACGCUCCUCGCCAACUUACGUAACUCGGUCGUUGCACUUCGCUCUGAAAUUUUGCCACGCUGUUUCCUGAUUCCACCUUUAGUUGUUUCUACGAAUUUCCGAAAUAUCCGCGUCCGAAUAAUAAUCCAGGUCGUUACCUCGUGCUCGGGAUUGGCGUUCAAACGUUCACCCCUCCCCAUUGUUCGAACAAUGAAAUUUCUCCUGUUGAAACUUUGAAUCGAAUCUUCGAUGCAACGUCUCAAAAACUGCGGAGAAAAAUUAUCCGAGUAUAAAACGCACUGGAACAGUUCCUCUCAAUUUUCGAAUUAGCAUCGAUUAAAAGGAUCGAGCGACGAUAACGAAGCGCUACUGCACGCGUGGAGGCAUGCCUGAGCGUAAACGAUCAAGCCACGUGGCGCGUAAAUGCAAAAAGCAUCGUCUAGAUUUCCGAUCGAGCGUUUCCCGGGGCGUGUCGCGUCUGGAAUCGUGGAGGCCGUGUUCCGGUCGCGGCCUUAGUUACGUUACAUCGUUAACGCGUGUCAACGAGGAUGCGAGUCCGUCAACGUCCAGCCGAGGCCAUUGUCUUCAUCCCCGGACGAAGGCAUUGUUGUCGGCGGUCGAGGAAAGGCGGAAAGAACGAUGGAAUUCCCGUGGUGGAGGGCACGGGUGGAUCGAGGAAGAAUGGUGGAACUAAGAAGAGGAAGAGGGAAGAGGGAAGCGAGGAAUGCGAAACGCGCGCAAGUGUGCACGCGAGCAAUCGCGUUCCGCGGUGAUCGUGGGCGAGAUCCAGGCGAGCUUCUUUCCUUUUCCCAUGCGAAUGUCACGUUAACGCGUAAAAAUGAAUGCAUAGAAUAAAUUACUUUCUAUUUGAAAAAAAAAGAGAAAAAAAAUACGCGAAAGUAAAAACAACAGAGAGAUGAAAGAAUUCCCCGCAUAUUCCCCUCGGAAUGUCUGUAAUUGCGAAUUUAGAGAAAAAGAAUGUCGCUUCAUCUACGUCAUUCCCAAGCAUCACCGGUAGCCGGUAAACUCGACGAUUCCAGCUAACCCCGAAGCACCGACGUUCCCGGUAGCGAUCAUUUCACACGGCUGUCCGUAAAUCCGCGUCACGAAGACCGUUAGCAACAGUUCGAGACAGCGAUGGCCGCUUCUCUCCUCCAUCACUCCUCGAAGGUCGGGACGAAGAGUCGGUUCGUCGGGUGGUUUUGCGGUUGUUCUCCUCUCGAACAACUCCUUCCAACGUAUACAAUGUGAAAUAGCAAAAAGAAGAAGAGGGAGAAGAAGAAAAAGAUGACAAAAAAAAGGAAAAAAAAAAAAGAACUACCACCACUCGACUCGAUAUUUUCUUCCAAAGGUGAGUCUUCGUAGUGCUUUUUUUUUUCUUCGUUUUGCUCGGAGGUUAGGUGCCGCAACGGCCAUAAGAUCCCCGUGCAUCUGACGUAAGAUGGAUAUCGUAUUCCCUAUAAUGCAUAGCCGGCCGUAUAUAUCGUGAAUUCCGUGAAGAAGAAGCGGCUUGCGCAUCCACGGCUUGCACGAACUGUCUUUUGCAUAGGUUAUCGUGAAAGACCCGGGAUACGGCCGGACCUCGCAUUCUUUUCGCCCUAGCCUCGGGCCCAGCCUCGCCUCGCCUCGCCACCGGGCCCUUUUCUCGCGUUUCUUCCACGUGGAUGCGAUUCCUCGAACGUUUCUUUUCCCGCAAGAACCUGGAAUCUCGAUCGCGAUUGGAAUUUUCGAGCUGAUUUAAUUGGGUUUCGAAUCUGCCUAUUUCGUAGUUCGGGAAAGGUUGAACGAUAUCCUCCUGGAUGAUAUUUUUGGAACGAUUCGCGAGGGAUAUCUUUCGAGAAAAUGGAAUAUAAUUUGUACGAAAAAGAUCGUUAUUAUCGUUGGAGGCUUCCCACGAUGGUAAUCUGACCAACGUUUCUAAUAAGCAUAAAUUAUUCGUAUAGCGACGUUAAUUAGGAUAUGUCAAACGGAAACGUUGAGCGUUGCGCAACGUUAUUAAUAACGCGCUCGGAGAGCGAGUACCACGGAGACGUUCUUUUUUUAUCCUUUUCUUUUUUCUUCUUAUUCUUUUUAACGAGAAUAAGGUUUCGAGCGCGAGAAAGGAGCGGCCGGUUUUUCGGUCGGCUUGGUGAUGGAUUAUCGGAUAGAGAGUUUCGUGAAAGGCGAGGAAAUAUCUGGUGGCAGUGGUCGCGACGAUCCGCCCCUGGGUGCGCAGCUGAUACUUACAUCUGCCGUGAUCUUAUUGCCCUCCCGCGCUUCGUUUAUUCGCAUUUGUCCGGUACUUUGUCGGCGUGGUUGUUGUACCACCGAGGUGUUCGAUGUAUCGACCUCGAUCGAGUCCCGCGCAUUGUGCCGGCUUUAUGGCCGUGGUCACGCAACGGAUACCGGCUGCACGCCGCUUCUCCAUGAAAUCGUCCGAUCGCUCCGAGCGCUACUCCUCUCGACCGUUCCUAAUCGGCUUUCGAAAGUUACUUCCGUUUCGCUCUCCAAUCUUUUUUUCCUUUUUCAUCGAUUCGAAUUGAAAAAAAUUCUGCAUUUUUUCGAAACGCUUUUCCUUUCUUUCUUUCUUUCUUUCUUUUCUCUUUUCCAAGCUGGAAUAAAAUUAUGACGAGUUUGAAAAAGGAAAAUAUUGGAGGAUAAAAGAUUCGUUAUCUCUGGUCGUUCAUCUACGCUUGAAACGAUCAACCAUCACUUUUGCGCGCCUCCCCUCUUUUCUAAUCGAAGGGAGAAGGUGGGCCCCUGAUUGCGCGGAUAUCCGUGCCGGAAGAGCGUUGCUGAACUGGCGUCGCUUGUGGAAGCCAGUCAAUUUCUCAACGAGGAGAAAGGACGCGACGAAAGACAAUUAACAAGCUUGCCUUUCUAGAUUCGCGCUGCCGUGGCUUCUGAUACAGUGGAUCUCUACGUGGGAGGCGGAUUUACAACCAACGGAAGAAAUGCAUAAAACUUGACUCGUCGCGAUCCUAGUCGUGAUGACUCGGUUGGUUUCUCUUGCGGUGCCUGUUGGGCUAGUGUAUAAUUAAAUUUCAUGGAAAUGACAGCUUCGAACGGCAAACAGUUUUACGACGUUUCGUAAACGAGGAUUGGAGGAUUAAUCAUCCCUGGCCGCUUGUAAAUCGUUCCUUACCACCGAUCGGAUGCAAAUGCCUUUGUCAACGUUAUUUAUCUCUAAGAGAGGAUAUCUCUUAGAGAUCGUCACCGAUAUAUAUUUUUACAACAUUGCGAUUCUCUUCCAGUUCAUUAUCCGAGGAAAAUUAAUCUAUGCAGUAGGAUUUCGAUUUAUCAUUUCCAUUCGACUUUGAGUAGUGGCGAAUAAAGUGGGAGGAGGAAAUAUUUAAUUCCAGGAACAGAAUUUCGCGAAGGGAAUAAUAAAGUGUCGAUUGAAGGAAAAACAGGAAAAAAUUGGGACACUUGAUAAACGGAGAUCUUGGAUUGUUUCCAAACGAUUUAGAAUUUGAGAUUGAAUUCAACAUUUUUCUUAAGCUUCAAGAUAUCGAGGAGAGAAUAAUUGAGAGAAUAAUCAUCCUUCAAAAAAAGAAACGAGCAAAAUAAUAAUUUUCUCUCCUUAUCGAGAAACAAUCCCUUGAUCAGGUUAACGAUCAGGGAACUUGUUUGAUCCAUGUCGAAUAUUGUAUCGAUCUACGACGUUCUCACGCGUGUACCACCUUUCUUCUCUUUUUUAAGGAUCCCUCUUUCGCCAGGAUGGGCGCGCCUCGGUCAACAGGAUUCUUCUCGUUGCACGCGGAAUUUAUACGUGCCAACGUUUGAACGAGUGGACGCACGUGUCUCGACGGAACGAAAAUUUCACUGAUCGAUGACGCGUACGAAACACCGGGCCUCCGGCAGGAAAUUAAUCGACCGAUCGCCGCAGGGGCGCGGCUGUUAUUUUUAUUCCGAGAAAUAUCUACGAAUUCCCUUCAACACGUACAGAAAAGCAUCGCUUUUAAUUCGAGCUUUUAAUUUUACGCGACACAUGGGGCUCGACACGUCCGGACUUUAUACGCGCUAUUCGUCGGUUGGACGAAUUGUCGUGUAUUUUCGUCUGGCAUUUUACACGCCAUAUUACUCUUCCGCCGUGACAACUAUUUCUUCCCUUCCCUUCCCUUCCUUUCUUCCUUUCAUUUUUUUCACGCGGAAUGCGUCUCGAAUUUACUCACCGAACGAAAUAAAUUAACGAACGAAUUACACAAAGCCUUUCCCAGCCAUCGCCGGACCCCUCGGAGACAAUUACACGAUAAAUUACGACAAUUCCGGUUCCGCAAACGCGGCGGCGUUUUGCGCGUCCAUUUUGCGCCGUUGAUUUUCACGCGUGAAUAACGGGAGGAUGCACGGCCGAUCGGUGUUUUCGGUGUGAAAUUUAAUGAAACGGACGGCCGCUUACGUUGAAAGAAUCAAUUAUCCUUUAUUGCGUGUCUCUCGAUGGUGUUGUCGAGCUUGCUGGGCGUGGAUGACAACGUGGAUGGAACGUGGAGGUUUAAUUAAACGGAUAGGUUCGCGCCGUCGGGAAUCGCGCUUCGGGGAUAAGUUGUUCGCGCGAUCAUCCCCCUCUUCCUCCCCUCCCCUCCCCGUGUUUCGCAAAAUUAUUACGUUCCAGAUUGCGUAUUACGCGACCCAGAUGUGUUUGGAUGUAAUUUCACUCGUGGAUGGCUCACGUCCGUUUCCUGGCCAAUCGUCCCUCGUUGAAUCGCGAAUGAACGAUGCGGAAAGAUGACGAACGGCCGCGAAAUAGCAGCGGAUUAUAAUUAAACGCAUUAUUAUAAUUCAUCGAAUUAUUGGAAAAUUUGGUGGACGAGCUCGAAGGGAUGUAACGAGAUGGUGAUUAGAUUUCAUUCAGUUCGUAUCGAUCGCGAAUGGACGAUUUUUGUGUAUUAAUUUUAAUCAAAUUUUUGGUGAUAGA